GAGUUUGAUCGUGGCUCAGGAUGAACGCUGGCGGCGUGCCUAAUACAUGCAAGUCGAGCGAACGGACGAGAAGCUUGCUUCUCUGAUGUUAGCGGCGGACGGGUGAGUAACACGUGGAUAACCUACCUAUAAGACUGGGAUAACUUCGGGAAACCGGAGCUAAUACCGGAUGAUAUUUUGAACCGCAUGGUUCGAAAGUGAAAGACGGUCUUGCUGUCACUUAUAGAUGGAUCCGCGCUGCAUUAGCUAGUUGGUAAGGUAACGGCUUACCAAGGCAACGAUGCAUAGCGACCUGAGAGGGUGAUCGGCCACACUGGAACUGAGACACGGUCCAGACUCCUACGGGAGGCAGCAGUAGGGAAUCUUCCGCAAUGGGCGAAAGCCUGACGGAGCAACGCCGCGUGAGUGAUGAAGGUCUUCGGAUCGUAAAACUCUGUUAUUAGGGAAGAACAUAUGUGUAAGUAACUGUGCACAUCUUGACGGUACCUAAUCAGAAAG
rnacentral:rRNA from 1 species